CUUUGCAGGUCAGAGAGUCAUCGGGGAACCUGUGGUAUCUGGGCUAGUCCUUGAUGAUUCUUGGCUUUGGGAUCCUGACUUUGCAACUGCUUCAAAGUAUGUGAUGAGUCCUCCAAUCCGGGAAGCAGGGCAUAAUAAAGCACUUCAAGCUGCUCUUUCAUCAGGAAUAUUACAGGAAGAUUCCCAAUGGCGUAAAUGGUAAGCCAUAGGGCUUGAACAAAGGAAACUGUGUUGUGUCAUUGCAAAUGGAAGCUGGCUAAGGCAUCUCUCUUUUCAUUACUUGAUCCCAGGUAUUGAAGAAAGGAUGCAUAUAAUUUGGGAUAGCAUGGUGGUAAGUUUUGAUUUCAAAUGUUGUUUUUCGUGAUGGGUACUAAGUUGGUUCCAUUGCCGG